GGCUUACAAUACAGCUGUGAUGAGUUUUGGGCCAGUGCUGAUGAUAGUGCUGCUUCAGAUGAAAUCAGGAGGUCUGUUAUAGAGAUCAGCCGGGCACUGAAAGAGCUGUUUCAUGAAGCUAGAGAAAGAGCCUCCAAGGCUCUUGGCUUUGCCAAGAGGUUAAGGAAGGACCUUGAAAUAGCAGCAGAGUUCACAUUGUCUGCUUCGGUGCGUGAGAUCCUCGGUGCCCUGAAAACACA